GGUGGGGGGUAGGAGUGGUUGUAGUCCCUUUCUUUAGAACAGAGAAUCAGUGGUCUUGUGACUCACCAUUUUUUUUGUUUGUUUGUUUUAGCAAGAGAAUGUGUAAACCCCAAAGGCUCAACUGUGGCCACUGGCCAGAAAACACCCUUGAAAACACCAGGGAGCCCAGGCAGGCUGUGAGGUGGAGGCUUGUGGACCUCAACAGGCCUUUGGAAGCCUCUCUCCCUGCGAGGCAGAAAGACAAGAUGGAAGCAGACCCUGGGAGAAAUAGUGAGGGUGAGGCUGUCACAGAUUCCAGUAUCAUUAGAAAAACAAAGAACCCACUGAUAGCUGAGACCUUUAGAGAAUAUCCAUUCUCAUUUAUAUCCGCCCCCGCCCUCCUGUGAGUGCGGAAUGUGGGUGGGCAGCCUGUGUUCAAAACGGAGGUCCUUAGUGGCUGCCUUCCCUCAGAAUCCUGUUUCUCCGCAGUGAAGUUUAAGUAAAUUGUUGUUUUCUUGACUUGUACAGGAGAAUACACAAAGACAAUAAAAAAGUUGCGUAAAUAUCCAUAAAGCGCCUAAUGACACCUCUGUCAUCUGUUUCCCGCAAGAUCCUAAAACGGGGUGGUCAUCCACCACCCACCCUGAGUGGGCGAUCGGCUAAUUGGUUCAUGCGUGUAUGGGCUCUUUCCAGAUCGAGCUGUGCACCGAAUACUAAACAUCCUCCUCCUCCUUCCCCCUCCCUUCCUCGAUUCACUCUGCUCGGGAGGGCGUGUGUAUGCGAGUCCGAGUCCGCGUGUGUAUGUUUAGCAAAGGCGCGUGUAAGAAACUAGCCCCCUUGUAACCCACUCCCCACUCUAAAGGAAGCAUCCCUUGAGCAAGAUGCGUCUCUAAUCUGUCCCAGGCUGAGGUGUCCUCUCCACGUUGAUAAGGGGACUGACUUCCAGACAGCUGAUAGGUAGGUUUCCCGGGAGGGCGACCUGACUUUUAGCGCGCUGCUUUCUUCCAGGGGUGUGCAAGGGUUGGUGCUUGCCGGAGUGUGUGUGCUCGCCCAAGAGACAGUUGGGGAGGGAGAGAGCGACUGGGUGAAGGAAGGAGGGAGAGAGAGAGAACGCGCGAGAGAGAGGAGAAAAGGAGAGGAGAGAGGAGAGAGAGAGAGACAGAGACAGAGAGAGACAGAGAGAGAGAGAGGAAUUAGAAGAGGACGUGGGAGGGGAGGGGAAAGAGGGAAGGAGAUUCCUGAUUCCUGCCUUGUGCAGGUGGCGCCCGCAGCUUGAGAAAACAGCAGCCUCCACCCCCUCAGCCCGGCGAUUGGCUGGUUUUUCUCAUUUUCCAGCGAGGAGCGGAAAGGACAAGCGACAUCCCGGGGCUCAAUUGCACGAGUGGCCACCACCUCCGAUGCACAAGGGGGCUCAUCUGAAAAGAAAGCUUAGCCCCAGAGAAGUGGUGUGGAGCGCCGCGGGUCGUGCGGGUGUGAACAGCACGCGAGGGCACCGGGUCUCACAGAGAUGAUGAACUCUGUUUGAACCGAUCUCUCAUUAAGAGUUCUUAAGAGAUGGCUUCACUGGCCUACUGGAGGAGGAAGAGGUGGGACCAGGUCACUCUCAUGAUCUCAGCUGAUGAGUCAACCCCCAGAAGCAGAAGCAACUGAGAAGCAGAAGUAACAGCUAAACACAGAAGCAUGAGUGUACCUAUUCAACAAUGGCAGAAGAAUAACUUGAAUAUUAACCUCCAUACAAACCUUUGAACAAAAUAAUCACUGCUGUGUUAAGCCAUUGGGAUAAUAUAAUCAUUAAAUAAUUAUGUAAGAAGAAUAACUUGAAUACUUAUAUUCAAGAAUAACCUAUAUACAAACUUUUGAGCAAAAUAAGUGAUUGCUGUGUUAAGCCACUAAAUUGUGUGAUAAUAUAAUCAUUAAAUAAUUAUUCACA